UACGGGGGAUGCAAGCGUUAUCCGGAAUCAUUGGGCGUAAAGCGUCUGUAGGUUGUUUAAUAAGUCUGUUGUUAAAGACUAGGGCUCAACCCUAGAAAAGCAAUGGUAACUACUAGACUUGAGUAUGGCAGGGGUAGAGGGAAUUUCUAGUGUAGCGGUGAAAUGCGUAGAUAUUAGAAAGAACACCAGCGGCGAAAGCGCUCUACUGGACCAUUACUGACACUCAGAGACGAAAGCUAGGGUAGCAAAAGGGAUUAGAUACCCCUGUAGUCCUAGCCGUAAACGAUGAACACUAGGUGUCGGGGGAUCGCCCCGGUGUCGUAGCCAACGCGUUAAGUGUUCCGCCUGGGGAGUACGCACGCAAGUGUG
rnacentral:rRNA from 1 species